GCAGUUGCGAGUCGCUCCCGCCAAAACUUCCCGCGCUCGACAGGCCUCCCACAGACUCGGAUCAUCUUCAAGGUUGAAUCAGUAAGGCUGGGUUAUUCUAUGGGGACACCAGGUUCAAAUUCACAGACUCAGCAGUUCGUUUUCAAAGCAGCUCAUGAAUGAAGGCGUUUAAACUUUUCAGAAGAAAUCUACACUUACCUGGCAAGGUGGCCCCAAUUGGAUCCUCCUGAAAAGAAGCUCUUUAGAAUCAUUGGAUGGAUCUCCUCUUCCCUGGAGCUCUGCUGAGAUCUCCUCAAUGAAUGGCUUCUGCAACUGAAAAAAAGCCUGAUUUAUGAUCCACUUUCAAAUGAGUUUAACCAUGUUAAUUCACUUAAGUUUUUCCUCUCCACAUGUAUUUUUCCAAUUCAAAUCAAAAUAAGAGAAUUUGAGAACUCCUACUCUGUGGGUUGCUGUUAUUUCUGGAUAAACGCCUGCCAUUUUUGUGAGUUCCUUCUUUUUUAUUUCCUAUUUUCCUUCACAACAGGAGCUGUUUAUUUAUUUCCUCCCCUUUACUUGACAAUAAUGGCCUUUCUUUCUUUGUGAAUGUAUUUAUGUCUAUAUAAUGGCUCUCUCCUUCUAUCAUCUGGUAGAGGGAGCGCCAUGAUCAUGGUAAAGGAAUAUGAAUAAAGUAUACUUUUUUGUUUUUCUCUGCAA